UACGAAGGGGGCUAGCGUUGCUCGGAAUUAUUGGGCGUAAAGCGCACGUAGGCGGUCUUUUAAGUCGGGGGUGAAAUCCUGGAGCUCAACUCCAGAACUGCCUUCGAUACUGGAAGACUUGAGUCCGGGAGAGGUGAGUGGAACUGCGAGUGUAGAGGUGAAAUUCGUAGAUAUUCGCAAGAACACCAGUGGCGAAGGCGGCUCACUGGCCCGGUACUGACGCUGAGGUGCGAAAGCUAGGGGAGCAAACAGG
rnacentral:rRNA from 1 species